AUUGAACGCUGGCGGCAUGCCUUACACAUGCAAGUCGAACGGCAGCACGGGUGCUUGCCCCUGGUGGCGAGUGGCGAACGGGUGAGUAAUACAUCGGAACAUGUCCUGUAGUGGGGGAUAGCCCGGCGAAAGCCGGAUUAAUACCGCAUACGAUCUACGGCUGACAGCGGGGGACCUUCGGGCCUCGCGCUAUAGGGUUGGCCGAUGGCUGAUUAGCUAGUUGGUGGGGUAAAGGCCUACCAAGGCGACGAUCAGUAGCUGGUCUGAGAGGACGACCAGCCACACUGGGACUGAGACACGGCCCAGACUCCUACGGGAGGCAGCAGUGGGGAAUUUUGGACAAUGGGCGAAAGCCUGAUCCAGCAAUGCCGCGUGUGUGAAGAAGGCCUUCGGGUUGUAAAGCACUUUUGUCCGGAAAGAAAUCCUUGGCCCUAAUACGGUCGGGGGAUGACGGUACCGGAAGAAUAAGCACCGGCUAACUACGUG
rnacentral:rRNA from 1 species